rnacentral:rRNA from 1 species
GACGAACGCUGGCGGCGUGCUUAACACAUGCAAGUCGAACGGAAAGGCCCUGCUUUUGUGGGGUGCUCGAGUGGCGAACGGGGGAGUAACACGUGAGUAAACUGCCCUUGACUUUGGGAUAACUUCAGGAAACUGGGGCUAAUACCGGAUAGGAGCUCCUGCUGCAUGGGGGUGGUUGGAAAGUUUCGGCGGUUGGGGCUGGACUUGCGGUUUAUCAGCUGGUUGGUGGGGUAGUGGAUGACCAAGGCUUUGACGGGUAGCCGGCCUGAGAGGGUGACCGGCCACAUUGGACUGAGAUACGGCCCAGACUCCUACGGGAGGCAGCAGUGGGGAAUAUUGCACAAUGGGCGGAAGCCUGAUGCAGCAACGCCGCGUGCGGGAUGACGGCCUUCGGGUUGUAAACCGCUUUCGCCUGUGACGAAGCGUGAGUGACGGUAAUGGGUAAAGAAGCACCGGCUAACUACGUG